AGAGUUUGAUCCUGGCUCAGAACGAACGCUGGCGGCAGGCCUAACACAUGCAAGUCGAGCGCGCCCUUCGGGGUGAGCGGCGGACGGGUUAGUAACGCGUGGGAACGUGCCCAGAUCUAAGGAAUAGCCACUGGAAACGGUGAGUAAUACCUUAUACGCCCUUCGGGGGAAAGAUUUAUCGGAUUUGGAUCGGCCCGCGUUAGAUUAGGUAGUUGGUGGGGUAAUGGCCUACCAAGCCUACGAUCUAUAGCUGGUUUUAGAGGAUGAUCAGCAACACUGGGACUGAGACACGGCCCAGACUCCUACGGGAGGCAGCAGUGGGGAAUCUUGGACAAUGGGGGCAACCCUGAUCCAGCCAUGCCGCGUGAGUGAUGAAGGCCUUAGGGUCGUAAAGCUCUUUCGCCUGUGAUGAUAAUGACGGUAGCAGGUAAAGAAACCCCGGCUAACUCCGUGCCAGCAGCCGCGGUAAUACGGAGGGGGUUAGCGUUGUUCGGAAUUACUGGGCGUAAAGCGCACGUAGGCGGACCAGAAAGUUGGGGGUGAAAUCCCGGGGCUCAACCCCGGAACUGCCUCCAAAACUAUUGGUCUAGAGUUCGAGAGAGGUGAGUGGAAUUCCAAGUGUAGAGGUGAAAUUCGUAGAUAUUUGGAGGAACACCAGUGGCGAAGGCGGCUCACUGGCUCGAUACUGACGCUGAGGUGCGAAAGUGUGGGGAGCAAACAGGAUUAGAUACCCCUGUAGUCCACGCCGUAAACGUUGUGCACUCGCUAUUGGCGGCUUCGACCCCGUCAGUGGCUAAGCUAACGCGAUAAGUGCACCGCCUGAGGACUACGGCCGCAAGGCUAAAACUCAAAGGAAUUGACGGGUCCCCGCACAAGCGGUGGAGCAUGUGGCUUAAUUCGAUGCAACGCGAAGAACCUUACCAGGCCUUGACAUGUAGUGGACCGGGGCAGAGAUGCCCUUUCUCUUCGGAGCCGCUUCACAGGUGCUGCAUGGCUGUCGUCAGCUCGUGUCGUGAGAUGUUCGGUUAAGUCCGGCAACGAGCGCAACCCACAUCCUUAGUUGCCAGCAGUUCGGCUGGGCACUCUAGGGAAACUGCCCGUGAUAAGCGGGAGGAAGGUGUGGAUGACGUCAAGUCCUCAUGGCCCUUACGGGUUGGGCUACACACGUGCUACAAUGGCAGUGACAAUGGGUUAAUCCCAAAAAACUGUCUCAGUUCGGAUUGGGGUCUGCAACUCGACCCCAUGAAGUCGGAAUCGCUAGUAAUCGCGUAACAGCAUGACGCGGUGAAUACGUUCCCGGGCCUUGUACACACCGCCCGU
rnacentral:rRNA from 2 species